UACGUGAGGGGCUAGCGUUGUCCGGAAUCAUUGGGCGUAAAGCGCGCGUAGGCGGCCCGGUAAGUCCGCUGUGAAAGUCAAAGGCUCAACCUUUGAAUGUCAGCGGAUACUGCCGGGCUAGAGUCCGGAAGAGGCGAGUGGAACUCCUGGUGUAGCGGUGGAAUGCGCAGAUAUCGGGAGGAACACCAAUUGCGAAGGCAGCUCGCUGGGACGUCACUGACGCUGAGACGCGAAAAGCGUGGGGAGCAAACAGG
rnacentral:rRNA from 1 species